AUCAACCAACUGUCAGAUUUCUGUGGGUUUUAUUCAGUUUAUUCUUGUUUUAAACAUCAGAAUCUUCAGAAACAUGAAAUCAUUUGAGUAAAAAAACACAGAAACAUGUAAACAGUCCGGUGUGAUGAGAUCUGAGACAGGUGGCUUAAAAUCCUGUAAACACUGCUGGAAAUAUCAAAACAUUCAAUAAAAACUUCAAAUGAUCGCAAAUAUUCAAGUCACAUAAGAUAAACAGCUAAACAUCAGCAGCAGCUAAAGUUUCUAUCAGUGCAUGAACCUGCCGAAGCUUUCAACAUCCAGCUGAAACUAAGUGAAACCAGCAACACAACACCAGCAGUGAGGAAGAGGAAGAUGAGAUGAAAGAGUAAAAACCUGUGAGCUCCAACGCUUCAGGAGGAAACUUCUGACAAACAUUUUUAUCUCACUGACUUUCAACCAUCAGCAGCUGCUUCAGACCCUUCAGCUGAUCCUGUAGCUGCAGCAGAAAAAGAAAGAGCUAAAGUUUUCUGUAAGGUCUCAGUCCCACAGAGCGUCCUGUCAGUCUCACAGAGCGUCCUGUCAGUCUCACAGAGCGUCCUGUCAGGUCUCACAGAGCGUCCUGUCAGGUCUCACAGAGCGUCCUGUCAGUCUCACAGAGCAUCCUGUCAGGUCUCACAGAGCGUCCUGUCAGGUCUCACAGAGCGUCCUGUCAGGUCUCACAGAGCGUCCUGUCAGGUCUCACAGAGCGUCCUGUCAGGUCUCACAGAGCGUCCUGUCAGUCAGUCUCAAAGAGCGUCCUGUCAGGUCUCCCAGAGCGUCCUGUCAGGUCUCCCAGAGCAUCCUGUCAGGUCUCCCAGAGCGUCCUGUCAGGUCUCCCAGAGCGUCCUGUCGGGUCUCAAACAGCGUUCUGUCAGGUCUCACAGACUCGAGAGCAUUUUCCAAAACUUAGUUUGUGCUUAAUCAGUUAUCUGUGAAGAGAUGCAGCAAUUCAGGUGGUUUUGUUAGAUUUUAACAAUUUCUUUUUUUUAAUCUGUGUAACAGUCAUGCUUUUAUUAAAGCUUUUUAAAUUUUUAUUUCAAAACAGAAACAUAUUUUGUAUAAAACAUGUUUUUUAUAAUCUGUUUAAAGUUUCACUUAUCAUCUGUGGUUUCAUUAUUAUGUUUUAACUUUUUAACCCAAACAAACCUUCAGCUGUUUCCUGAAACAUGCAUCAUUUUCUGAAUCAUGCAAACAUGUUUUAUUUAAAUAAAAAUAACGUGAAUUUACUGAUUCUGUUGGACUCAGUUUGGCUCAGACUACUUGGUUUGGAUUUUAUUCACUUCAGUUUUAACUGUUAGCAUAACUGCUAAUGCUGCUAAGAGCAGUUCAGUUUUAACUGUUAGCAUUGCUGCUAAUGCCGCUAAGAGCAGUUCAGAUUUUAAUAAUUUUUUAAUUGUUAACAUCUGGAUUUUUUAAAAUAAUUCAGUUAUUUACAGUUUAACUGGUUCUAUUGUUCUGGACAAAAAGGACAGUGAGUUAGCUUAGAGCGCUAACGAGUGUUUUCCUGCUUCACAUUUAGGGAAAGUAACUUUGAAUGAUAAAAACACUUUUAUAUUAAGUGUUUUUACUAAGUUGUAAGAAUUUUAAAUACAAAGGACAAGU